GCCCGUCCACACCAUGAGAGUUGGGAAUACCCGAAGCCUGUGAGCUAACUUUAGAGGCAGCAGUCGAAGGUAGAAUCAAUGAUUGGGGUGAAGUCGUAACAAGGUAGC
rnacentral:rRNA from 1 species